UGUAUGGUUAAGUGACUAAGCGUACACGGUGGAUGCCUGGGCAGUCAGAGGCGAUGAAGGACGUACUAACUUGCGAUAAGCGCAGAUAAGGCAGUAAGAGCCGUUUGAGUCUGCGAUUUCCGAAUGGGGAAACCCAACUGCAUAAGCAGUUACUGUUAACUGAAUACAUAGGUUAACAGAGCAAACCGGGGGAACUGAAACAUCUAAGUACCCCGAGGAGAAGAAAUCAACCGAGAUUCCGGUAGUAGCGGCGAGCGAACCUGGAUUAGCCCUUAAGCACUCGGUGAAGUAGGUGAACAAGCUGGAAAGCUUGGCGAUACAGGGUGAUAGCCCCGUAACCGACGCUUCAUCGAGCGUGAAAUCGAGUAGGGCGGGACACGUGAUAUCCUGUCUGAAUAUGGGGGGACCAUCCUCCAAGGCUAAAUACUCCUGACUGACCGAUAGUGAACCAGUACCGUGAGGGAAAGGCGAAAAGAACCCCUGUGAGGGGAGUGAAAUAGAACCUGAAACCGUGUACGUACAAGCAGUAGGAGCACCUUCGUGGUGUGACUGCGUACCUUUUGUAUAAUGGGUCAGCGACUUAUAUUCAGUGGCAAGGUUAACCGUAUAGGGGAGCCGUAGCGAAAGCGAGUCUUAACUGGGCGCUCAGUCUCUGGAUAUAGACCCGAAACCGGGUGAUCUAGCCAUGGGCAGGUUGAAGGUUGAGUAACAUCAACUGGAGGACCGAACCGACUAAUGUUGAAAAAUUAGCGGAUGACUUGUGGCUAGGGGUGAAAGGCCAAUCAAACUCGGAGAUAGCUGGUUCUCCCCGAAAGCUAUUUAGGUAGCGCCUCGGACGAAUACUACUGGGGGUAGAGCACUGUUAAGGCUAGGGGGUCAUCCCGACUUACCAACCCUUUGCAAACUCCGAAUACCAGUAAGUACUAUCCGGGAGACACACGGCGGGUGCUAACGUCCGUCGUGGAGAGGGAAACAACCCAGACCGCCAGCUAAGGUCCCAAAGUAUUGCUAAGUGGGAAACGAUGUGGGAAGGCUCAGACAGCUAGGAUGUUGGCUUAGAAGCAGCCAUCAUUUAAAGAAAGCGUAAUAGCUCACUAGUCGAGUCGGCCUGCGCGGAAGAUGUAACGGGGCUAAGCAAUACACCGAAGCUGCGGCAAUGUCUUUUAGACAUUGGGUAGGGGAGCGUUCUGUA
rnacentral:rRNA from 2 species